UGCUUGCUUGUUACUUUUGUUUGUGAAAGC
rnacentral:piRNA from 1 species